AAGUCGUAACAAGGUUUCCGUAGGUGAACCUGCGGAAGGAUCAUUACAGUUGGGGCCCCCGCCCCGAUCAAGAUACCACCCCUUGCAUUUUGAGUACCUCUGUUUCCUCGGCGGGCCCGCCCGCCAAUGGGGACCACGAAGAAACCUCUUGCAGUUGCAGUAAACGUCUAAACAAACAAAAAUCAAAA
rnacentral:misc_RNA from 1 species